UAUUGGCUUUUUCGAAGUCAUGGAUAAUUUCAUUAAGAUUUCCGUGAUCAAAAAAAGCCAAAAUAAAUAAAAAUUUCUUUCACGGUCGCUUGUUUCAUUGUGUGUGAUUUGAGCAUUACCCAAGAAACGAACAUU